CGACCCAUGAAUUCCAGAUACCCUCCAAAACCCUUCAACCGACCAUGACGAGAUAAAAUCCUGCAACCCCAUGGAGCGGUGUCGGGUCACGAAGCAUUCCGCAUCUGUCAUUUUCAUCGUGCUCCCUCGCUUGUUGAGAAAAGAACUUUCAUACCUGACAGAGAAUGAGCGUUGAUUCACAAGUGAUGAGAAACAGUACAAUUCUCAUACGAUCAACUCAAAUCAAACCGUUCAAAUCUUAUCCCUCGUUUUGAUUCACAAUUCAACAGAAUUCACACCGAUUCAUUUUUUUCUUACUGGGCGAUUGAUUGGGCAUCAUUGAAUGGUUGAAAUGAAAACAUUGAAUGGUCUGGAUUCAAUAAAUAAAUUCCUCGGAAUCAGAUACCAGGACUGUCCAAUCAAAUAUUAUUUUGUAAUUAUAUACCAUAACCGAUCCAUAAUUCAAAAACCAAGGAUGUUUAUUUUGAGUCAAUGAAUGCAUAUGGACAUAUACGAUUUCUGAGUACCCGCGUAUCAACCAUCACUCUGCCAGACCAUCAAAGAACUCCCACUCUCUCAUGCCUCUGGUCGCCUCUUCCCAAAGGAAUAAAACAUUUUUUUUUUUAAAAAAAAAAAAAAAAAAAAACCUAGAAUUCGUUGAAGAGCGAUGUCGAAGAAGGGGUUCUCCCUGUACUACAGAUGGAAUAAAGCAGCAGUAUCAGCAGAAUAGCAGAAGGCUUUCUUGAACUAGUAGAGGGAAAGAAAACUUACGAAGUUUCUGGUGCGGCUGGUCCCAUGGACGACAAGGUUUGUCAUGUUCCCGAUGAGGUAAGCUGUCAGCCCCAAGUUGAAAAGCAUGUAGAAAAUAUCAAACAACAUC